GCUCAACCGGGGAGGGUCAUUGGAAACUGGGAAACUUGAGUGCAGAAGAGGAGAGUGGAAUUCCACGUGUAGCGGUGAAAUGCGUAGAGAUGUGGGGGAACACCAGUGGCGAAGGCGACUCUCUGGUCUGUAACUGACGCUGAGGAGCGAAAGCGUGGGGAGCGAACAGGAUUAGAUACCCUGGUAGUCCACGCCGUAAACGAUGAGUGCUAAGUGUUAGGGGGUUUCCGCCCCUUAGUGCUGCAGCUAACGCAUUAAGCACUCCGCCUGGGGAGUACGGUCGCAAGACUGAAACUCAAAGGAAUUGACGGGGGCCCGCACAAGCGGUGGAGCAUGUGGUUUAAUUCGAAGCAACGCGAAGAACCUUACCAGGUCUUGACAUCCUCUGACAACCCUAGAGAUAGGGCUUUCCCUUCGGGGACAGAGUGACAGGUGGUGCAUGGUUGUCGUCAGCUCGUGUCGUGAGAUGUUGGGUUAAGUCCCGCAACGAGCGCAACCCUUGAUCUUAGUUGCCAGCAUUCAGUUGGGCACUCUAAGGUGACUGCCGGUGACAAACCGGAGGAAGGUGGGGAUGACGUCAAAUCAUCAUGCCCCUUAUGACCUGGGCUACACACGUGCUACAAUGGACGGAACAAAG
rnacentral:rRNA from 1 species